rnacentral:rRNA from 1 species
GACGAACGCUGGCGGCGUGCCUAAUACAUGCAAGUAGAACGCUGAAGAGAGGAGCUUGCUCUUCUUGGAUGAGUUGCGAACGGGUGAGUAACGCGUAGGUAACCUGCCUUGUAGCGGGGGAUAACUAUUGGAAACGAUAGCUAAUACCGCAUAACAAUGGAUGACACAUGUCAUUUAUUUGAAAGGGGCAAUUGCUCCACUACAAGAUGGACCUGCGUUGUAUUAGCUAGUAGGUGAGGUAAUGGCUCACCUAGGCGACGAUACAUAGCCGACCUGAGAGGGUGAUCGGCCACACUGGGACUGAGACACGGCCCAGACUCCUACGGGAGGCAGCAGUAGGGAAUCUUCGGCAAUGGGGGCAACCCUGACCGAGCAACGCCGCGUGAGUGAAGAAGGUUGUCGGAUCGUAAAGCUCUGUUGUAAGUCAAGAACGGGGGUGAGAGUGGAAAGUUCACACUGUGACGGUAGCUUACCAGAAAGGGACGGCUAACUACGUG